rnacentral:rRNA from 1 species
GACAGAGGGUGCAAACGUUGUUCGGAAUUACUGGGCGUAAAGCGAGUGUAGGCGGUUUGGUAGGUCGGAUGUGAAAGCCCCGGGCUCAACCCGGGAAGUGCACUCGAUACUGCCAAGCUAGAGUGUCGGAGAGGUUGGUGGAAUUCUCGGUGUAGAGGUGAAAUUCGUAGAUAUCGAGAGGAACACCGGUGGCGAAGGCGGCCAACUGGACGAACACUGACGCUGAGACUCGAAAGCGUGGGGAGCAAACAGG